GAACCAAGGCCUUCUGUCAGAGAACCGAGCAAGCGUCCCAGUCCUCGAAGGUGACUCUGCGGAAGAACAGCUUCCGACAGAAACUUCGGAACAGAUUCAAGAACUGUCGAAAGCCAUUGAGCAUUGAGCAACGCCGUCAUCGACACGGAAAGACGAGCCAGGGGCAUCGUUGUGAAAAAGCGUGCGGCAGCUGAAGAGGGGAUGCCGGGGUCGGGGAUGUUUCCCAAAACGAAGAAGUCGCAGCUAGACAUCUGCACCGAAACCGCCAAGUUCAGUGCCAAGCUAAAGCACGCCGAUGUCACUCACAAGACAUCUGUUCUCAAAGAUUCCUUCGAGGUUCGGCGGAUAUGCCUCACGAGCAACCGAAACCGGAAGACUGGCGAGGAGAUGAAGGAGAUAUUCCCGGAUAUGUACAGCGAAGCUGCCGUGUGGACUGACUUGGGAAUGAUCAUGGGGCUCGAGGAGGACGUGAAGGAGCAUGUCCUGC